UGCCGCGUGAGUGAUGAAGGCCUUAGGGUUGUAAAGCUCUUUUACCCGGGAAGAUAAUGACUGUACCGGGAGAAUAAGCUCCGGCUAACUUCGUGCCAGCAGCCGCGGUAAUACGAAGGGGGCUAGCGUUGUUCGGAAUUACUGGGCGUAAAGCGUGCGCAGGCGGUUUUACAAGUCAGGGGUGAAAGCCCAGAGCUCAACUCUGGAAAUGCCCUUGAAACUGUUAAGCUCGAGUGCGGGAGAGGUGAGUGGAAUUCCCAGUGUAGAGGUGAAAUUCGUAGAUAUUGGGAAGAACACCGGUGGCGAAGGCGGCUCACUGGCCCGUUUCUGACGCUCAUGCACGAUAGCGUGGGGAUCAAACAGGAUUAGAUACCCUGGUAGUCCACGCCGUAAACUAUGGACGCUAGCCGUUGGGUAGCUUGCUAUUCAGUGGCGCAGCUAACGCCUUAAGCGUCCCGCCUGGGGAGUA
rnacentral:rRNA from 1 species